rnacentral:rRNA from 1 species
GUUGCUCCCAAGAUUAGCGGCGGACGGGUGAGUAACACGUGGGCAACCUGCCUGUAAGACUGGGAUAACUUCGGGAAACCGGAGCUAAUACCGGAUAAUCCUUUUCCUCACAUGAGGGAAAGCUGAAAGACGGUUUCGGCUGUCACUUACAGAUGGGCCCGCGGCGCAUUAGCUAGUUGGUGAGGUAACGGCUCACCAAGGCGACGAUGCGUAGCCGACCUGAGAGGGUGAUCGGCCACACUGGGACUGAGACACGGCCCAGACUCCUACGGGAGGCAGCAGUAGGGAAUCUUCCGCAAUGGACGAAAGUCUGACGGAGCAACGCCGCGUGAGCGAAGAAGGCCUUCGGGUCGUAAAGCUCUGUUGUCAGGGAAGAACAAGUGCCGGAGUAACUGCCGGCACCUUGACGGUACCUGACCAGAAAGCCACGGCUAACUACGUGCCAGCAGCCGCGGUAAUACGUAGGUGGCAAGCGUUGUCCGGAAUUAUUGGGCGUAAAGCGCGCAAGGCGGUCCUUUAAGUCUGAUGUGAAAGCCCAGGCUCAACCGUGGAGGGUCAU